UAAGGGCGCACGGUGGAUGCCUUGGCACUAGAAGCCGAUGAAGGACGUUACUAACGACGAUAUGCUUUGGGGAGCUGUAAGUAAGCUUUGAUCCAGAGAUUUCCGAAUGGGGAAACCCAGCAUGAGUUAUGUCAUGUUAUCGAUAUGUGAAUACAUAGCAUAUCAGAAGGCACACCCGGAGAACUGAAACAUCUUAGUACCCGGAGGAAGAGAAAGAAAAUUCGAUUCCCUUAGUAGCGGCGAGCGAAACGGGAAGAGCCCAAACCAACAAGCUUGCUUGUUGGGGUUGUAGGACACUCUAUACGGAGUUACAAAGGACGACAUUAGACGAAUCAUCUGGAAAGAUGAAUCAAAGAAGGUAAUAAUCCUGUAGUCGAAAAUGUUGUCUCUCUUGAGUGGAUCCUGAGUACGACGGAGCACGUGAAAUUCCGUCGGAAUCUGGGAGGACCAUCUCCUAAGGCUAAAUACUCUCUAGUGACCGAUAGUGAACCAGUACCGUGAGGGAAAGGUGAAAAGCACCCCGGAAGGGGAGUGAAAUAGAACCUGAAACCGUGUGCUUACAAGUAGUCAGAGCCCGUUAAUGGGUGAUGGCGUGCCUUUUGUAGAAUGAACCGGCGAGUUACGAUUUGAUGCAAGGUUAAGCAGUAAAUGUGGAGCCGUAGCGAAAGCGAGUCUGAAUAGGGCGUUUAGUAUUUGGUCGUAGACCCGAAACCAGGUGAUCUACCCUUGGUCAGGUUGAAGUUCAGGUAACACUGAAUGGAGGACCGAACCGACUUACGUUGAAAAGUGAGCGGAUGAACUGAGGGUAGCGGAGAAAUUCCAAUCGAACCUGGAGAUAGCUGGUUCUCUCCGAAAUAGCUUUAGGGCUAGCCUCAAGUGAUGAUUAUUGGAGGUAGAGCACUGUUUGGACGAGGGGCCCCUCUCGGGUUACCGAAUUCAGACAAACUCCGAAUGCCAAUUAAUUUAACUUGGGAGUCAGAACAUGGGUGAUAAGGUCCGUGUUCGAAAGGGAAACAGCCCAGACCACCAGCUAAGGUCCCAAAAUAUAUGUUAAGUGGAAAAGGAUGUGGCGUUGCCCAGACAACUAGGAUGUUGGCUUAGAAGCAGCCAUCAUUUAAAGAGUGCGUAAUAGCUCACUAGUCGAGUGACACUGCGCCGAAAAUGUACCGGGGCUAAACAUAUUACCGAAGCUGUGGAUUGUCCUUUGGACAAUGGUAGGAGAGCGUUCUAAGGGCG
rnacentral:rRNA from 1 species